GAAAUUCAUAAUUAUUUUUAAACCUAAAAUUCACGAAGGCAGGCGAGCUAAAUUCUAUUUCUAUAUUAGAGGAUAUUAUUUAGUAUAUCAACACUAAAGUACUAUGGAAAUUUAGGGGUGAAAGGCCUUUCAAGUCUGCCGAUAACUUGAUUAUAAGAAAAGAUAUUUAGUAUAAAAUCAACCUAAUAAUGAUAAGGUUUUUAGGGUCCAUAAUUUUUAAUUAAUCUUUUAAUAGACUGAAUAUGUAAAAACUACAGUUUAAAUUAAAGUAACAUACAUCUUUUGAAAUAUAUGUAUAUUACUUAUAUCUUUAAAUUAACAUAUAUUUAAACUAAAAAUGAUUUCAUUAGUAUUGUAUUUAAUUUUUUUUAAGGAACUCGGCAAAUAAUUUUCUCGACUGUUUAACAAAAACAUUGCUUUAAGCUAUUAUUUCAAGUUUACCCUGCUCAAUGAUGUAGAAAUUAAAUAGCCGCAGUACCCUGACUGUGCAAAGGUAGCAUAAUCAAUUGGCUUAUAAUUGAAGUCUAGUAUGAAUGGGAAAGCGGGAAUAAGCUAUCUUAAAAUAAAAAUUUAGAACUUACUGAAUAAGUGAAAAUUCUUAUACAAAUAAAAAAGACGAGAAGACCCUAGAAAUUUUUUAGAAUCUUUAUAAUUUACAUAAAACAUAUUUUGUUGGGGCGACAUGGUAACAUCUUUAAAUUAAAACUUACCAGAAAGGAUAGGAAAUUUAUUAGUAGUAUACAUAAAUUACUCUAGGGAUAACAGCAUAAUUUAUUAUUAAGAUUUUGACCUCGAUGUUGGACUAGGAAAUUAUUUACCUAAAAGGUAAAUAAGAAAGCUCUGUUCGAGCUAUAUUCACCUACAUGAUCUGAGUUCAGACCGG
rnacentral:rRNA from 1 species